AAUGCACCAAUGCACCAAGGCACCAAGGCACCGUGGCACUGUGGCACUAUCCCUAUCUACUAUCCAGCAAAACCACAUCCAAGGGAAUAAGCUUGGAAGAAUCAUCGAGUAAAGAAGACCUUCUUGAGCUUGACUCUACUCCGACUUUGUAAAAUGACUUGAGAGGUGUAGUAUAAGUGGGAGACGAAAGGCAAAAGUGAAAUACCACUACUUUUAACUUUAUUUUACUUAUUUCAUAAAUCUAAAGUGGAGCACUACCCCUCUUUUUGGACCCAAGGCUUGCUCUACGAGCCGAUCUACGCGGAAGACAUUGUCAGGUGGGGAGUUUGGCUAGAGUGGCACAUUUUUUAAAAGAUAAUGCAGGUAUUCCAAGAUGAGCUCAACGAGACCAGAAAUAUCAUGUGGAACCAAAGGGUAAAAACUCAUUGAUUCUGAUUUCUAGUACGAAUACAAACCAUGAAAGCGUGGCCUAACGAUCCUUUAGACCUUCGAAAUUCAAAGCUAGAGGUGUCAGAAAAGUGUUACCACAGGGAUAACUGGCCUAUUGCAGCCAAGCAUUCAUAGCGACGUUGCUUUUUCAUCCUUUAAUGUUGGCUCUUCCUAUCAUUGUGAAGCGAAAUUCACCAAGUGUUAGACUGUUCACCCACCAAUAGGGAAUGUGAGUUAGGUUUAGACCGUUGUGAGAUAGGUUAGUUUUACCCUACUUAUGACAGUGUCGUAGUAGUAAUUCAACCUAGUAUGAGAGGAAAUGUUGAUUCACACAAUUUGUCAUCGCGCUUGGUUGACAAACAAUUAGCGCAAAGCUACCGUGUGCUGGAUUAUGACUGAACAACUCUUAGUCAGAAGCUGGUCUAGAAACAAUGCAUGCACCCGCUAUCCGCAUACCGACCCACAGUAGGAGCCUUGGCCCCCAAGGGCACAUGUCAUUUGCUAAGCCACUGCGGCGGAAGUCGCGGUGGCCGCCUGGAAGUACAAUAUCCAUCGAACGUUGGGUAGAUUCCUUUGCAGAUGACUUAAAUAUGCGACGGGGUAUUUUAAGUAGAAGAAUGGCCUUGCUGCCACGAUCCACUGAGAUUCAUUCCUUUGUCGCUCUAGUUC
rnacentral:ncRNA from 1 species